rfam:Dipodomys ordii contig_66268, whole genome shotgun sequence.
GGUAAGGUGGCUCAGUGGUAGAGCGCUUGCCUUGCGUACAUGAGGCCCUGGGUUUGAUUCCCCAGCACCA